CAGCAGCCGCGGUAAUACGGAGGGUGCAAGCGUUAAUCGGAAUUACUGGGCGUAAAGCGCACGCAGGCGGUCUGUCAAGUCGGAUGUGAAAUCCCCGGGCUCAACCUGGGAACUGCAUCCGAAACUGGCAGGCUAGAGUCUUGUAGAGGGGGGUAGAAUUCCAGGUGUAGCGGUGAAAUGCGUAGAGAUCUGGAGGAAUACCGGUGGCGAAGGCGGCCCCCUGGACAAAGACUGACGCUCAGGUGCGAAAGCGUGGGGAGCAAACAGGAUUAGAUACCCGCGUAGUCCCUGUCUCUUAUAC
rnacentral:rRNA from 1 species